rnacentral:SRP_RNA from 1 species
GGCCGGGCCCUGCGCGACGCGAGGAUUACAAACCCCGUCAGGUCCGGAAGGAAGCAGCGGUAGUAAUUUCUCCGGGUGCCGCAGUAAGCCUGGCCUUU